GACGAACGCUGGCGGCGUGCUUAACACAUGCGAGUCGAACGGAAAGGCCCUGCUUUUGUGGGGUGCUCGAGUGGCGAACGGGUGAGUAACACGUGAGUAACCUGCCCUUGACUUUGGGAUAACUUCAGGAAACUGGGGCUAAUACCGGAUAGGAGCUCCUGCUGCAUGGUGGGGGUUGGAAAGUUUCGGCGGUUGGGGAUGGACUCGCGGCUUAUCAGCUUGUUGGGGGGGUAGUGGCUUACCAAGGCUUUGACGGGUAGCCGGCCUGAGAGGGUGACCGGCCACAUUGGGACUAAGAUACGGCCCAGACUCCUACGGGAGGCAGCAGUGGGGAAUAUUGCACAAUGGGCGGAAGCCUGAUGCAGCAACGCCGCGUGCGGGAUGACGGCCUUCGGGUUGUAAACCGCUUUCGCCUGUGACGAAGCGUGAGUGACGGUAAUGGGUAAAGAAGCACCGGCUAACUACGUG
rnacentral:rRNA from 1 species